GUAGCUCAGUGGUAGAGCAACAGAAAAUACGCAGGUUCGAAUCCUGCUCUCGCCA
rnacentral:tRNA from 1 species